rnacentral:misc_RNA from 1 species
GAUGAAGAACGCAGCGAAAUGUGAUAAGUAAUGCGAAUUGCAGAAUUUCCGUGAGUCAUCGAAUCUUUGAACGCACAUUGCGCCCACUGGUAUUCCGGUGGGCAUGCCUGUUCGAGCGUCAUUAUCCUCCCUCAAACCCCGGGUUUGGUGUUGGACCGAAGUUGUGUGAACAACUGGUCUAAAAAACAAUGACGGCGUCCGUGGGACCCUCGGUGCAACGAGCUUUUAGGAGCACGCGCCGAGUUGCAAGGACCUUCCGGGCCGGUCUCCUUUUACUAUUUUACAAGGUUGACCUCGGAUCAGGAAGGAAUACCCGCUGAACUUAAGCAUAUCAAUAAGCGGAGGA